rnacentral:rRNA from 1 species
CCCAGACUCCUACGGGAGGCAGCAGUGGGGAAUAUUGCACAAUGGGGGAAACCCUGAUGCAGCAACGCCGCGUGAGUGAAGAAGGUUUUCGGAUUGUAAAGCUCUGUUAGCAGGGAAGAGGAAGGACGGUACCUGCAGAGGAAGCCCCGGCUAACUACGUGCCAGCAGCCGCGGUAAUACGUAGGGGGCAAGCGUUAUCCGGAUUUACUGGGUGUAAAGGGUGCGUAGGUGGCAGGGCAAGUCAGAUGUGAAAGCCCGGGGCUCAACCCCGGUACUGCAUUUGAAACUGUCCAGCUGGAGUGCAGGAGAGGUAAGCGGAAUUCCUAGUGUAGCGGUGAAAUGCGUAGAUAUUAGGAGGAACACCAGUGGCGAAGGCGGCUUACUGGACUGUAACUGACACUGAGGCACGAAAGCGUGGGGAGCAAACAGGAUUAGAUACCCCUGUAC